rnacentral:rRNA from 1 species
UACGUAGGGUGCAAGCGUUAUCCGGAAUUAUUGGGCGUAAAGAGCUCGUAGGCGGUUUGUCGCGUCUGCUGUGAAAACCCGAGGCUCAACCUCGGGCCUGCAGUGGGUACGGGCAGACUAGAGUGCGGUAGGGGAGAUUGGAAUUCCUGGUGUAGCGGUGGAAUGCGCAGAUAUCAGGAGGAACACCGACGGCGAAGGCAGAUCUCUGGGCCGUAACUGACGCUGAGGAGCGAAAGCGUGGGGAGCGAACAGG